rnacentral:lncRNA from 1 species
AUGAGUUCCCGCCAGCCAGUCCGUGCCCCUCUCCGGGCCUCAGUUUCCUCUCCUGUUAAGGAAGCCUUUGUGAGGAAACAGCUCCGCAACCUGCAGUAUCUGAUAAUCCGCCCGAUCCACACCCCUCGUGCCAGGCCCUUGCAUACUAAUGGUUGGAAGAGAUCCGGGAGCUCCGCCUCACCCCUCUAUCGGUGUCGGGACCAGAAGAACGACCUGGGGAAGAAGGGCUGUGGCCCCGCAGAAGCCACUCUCGGGUCUCGAAGGCAGCUGUGCAACUCCCAGGGUCGAGAGAUUGCGGCAGCCUCCCCACCUGACUUUGAAAUCCCGCUGCUUAGGCAGAUCACUGUUUCCUUCGCCUGUGUGAAGAGGAUGUCAAAGGAAGAAUUUGGAAACCCGUUUGUGGGUAUGGACCAGAAUCAGACUAGAGAGCUGAGUAUGGGUUUCUUCAGCUUUGGUCCCCAGGCUGGAUUUGGAUCUGGAUUUAGUGAAGGGGGAGUUGCUGUUGUGUAGGCUAGACUCAUGGCCAUCCUCUCUGGUCCCUAGGUGUACUCAGGCAGUGUGUGUGUGAAGGUAUCUCAGAUGCUUGGGAUAGGUUUGUUAGACAGGGCUUCACCCUGGAAGACUGAGUCACUAAUGGGAAUGACGAAGCAGAUCAGAACCAGACCGUUGAUCCAGGCAAGGUAGUCCACACCUGUAAUCCCAUCACUCCAAAGGCUGAAGCUGGAGCAUCUUCAGUUCCACCAGGCCUGCCUGGACUACACAAUGUAGGGGGCUCCCUAGAUAAAAGAUAGGAUGAAAGCCUCAUGGAGCUUUAUUAAAAAUUAACAAAGCUGGGCAUGGUGGUGCAUGCCUGUAAUCCCAGCACUUGGGAAGCUGAGGCAGGAGGAUCGCUGUGAGUUCAAGACUGCCUGGGCUACAUAGUGAGUUCCAGGUCAGUCUCAACAACAUAAUGUGAGACCUUGUUUCAAAAAAACAAACAAUAAGAGCUGGGGAUUUAGCUCAGUGGUGCUGCCACCUGCCUUGCUAAUGCAAGGUCCUGAGUUUGAUCCCCGGUACCAAAAAAACAAAAAUAAUAAUAAUAAUAAAACACCUCUAACCUCUGCAGCUAGACAAAAGCAGCAAUUAGAAAGACAGAGGCAACUGGGCUUGAGCAAUUAGGAAGACAAAAGUGAAGAAACUAAGUCUGGGAAGCUCCCUGGUAGCAUAAUAACAUAAGAAUCUGAAGUGGGCAACUCACCCGUCUGGGGCUUUCUCUCAAUAAAUUUU